GGCCAGGAAGAGGAGGAAGCCCUGGAGGGGCUGGAGGUGAUGGAUGUUUUCCUCCGGUUCUCAGGGCUCCACCUCUUUCGAGCC
rfam:Dipodomys ordii contig_53099, whole genome shotgun sequence.